rnacentral:rRNA from 1 species
UACAGAGGGGGCAAGCGUUGUUCGGAAUUACUGGGCGUAAAGGGCGCGUAGGCGGCCUGUUAAGUCGAACGUGAAAUCCCCGGGCUCAACCCGGGAACUGCGUCCGAUACUGGCAGGCUUGAAUCCGGGAGAGGGAUGCGGAAUUCCAGGUGUAGCGGUGAAAUGCGUAGAUAUCAGGAGGAACACCCGUAGCGAAGGCGGCACUCUGGGCCGAUACUGACACUGAGGAGCGAAAGCGUGGGGAGCGAACAGG